UACAGAGGGUGCGAGCGUUGUCCGGAAUCACUGGGCGUAAAGGGCGCGUAGGUGGCGCGACAAGUCAGUGGUGAAAGUUCGACGCUCAACGUCGAAUCGGCCACUGAUACUGUUGGGCUUGAGCACUGUAGAGGCUAAUGGAAUUCCGGGUGUAGCGGUGGAAUGCGUAGAGAUGUGGAGGAACACCGAUGGCGAAGGCAGCCUUCUGGGCCAACACUGACGCUCAUGCACGAAAGCGUGGGGAGCAAACAGG
rnacentral:rRNA from 1 species